rnacentral:rRNA from 1 species
UACAGAGGGUGCGAGCGUUGUUCGGAAUUAUUGGGCGUAAAGGGCGCGUAGGCGGUGCGGUAAGUCACCUGUGAAAUCUCCUGGCUCAACUGGGAGCUUGCAGGCGAAACUGCCGUGCUGGAGUGUGGGAGAGGUGCGUGGAAUUCCCGGUGUAGCGGUGAAAUUCGUAGAUAUUCGGAAGAACACCAGUGGCGAAGGCGGCUCACUGGCCCGUUACCGACGCUCAGGCGCGACAGCGUGGGGAGCAAACAGG